GAUGAACGCUGGCGGCGUGCCUAAUACAUGCAAGUCGAGCGAACGGACGAGAAGCUUGCUUCUCUGAUGUUAGCGGCGGACGGGUGAGUAACACGUGGAUAACCUACCUAUAAGACUGGGAUAACUUCGGGAAACCGGAGCUAAUACCGGAUAAUAUUUUGAACCGCAUGGUUCAAAAGUGAAAGACGGUCUUGCUGUCACUUAUAGAUGGAUCCGCGCUGCAUUAGCUAGUUGGUAAGGUAACGGCUUACCAAGGCAACGAUGCAUAGCCGACCUGAGAGGGUGAUCGGCCACACUGGAACUGAGACACGGUCCAGACUCCUACGGGAGGCAGCAGUAGGGAAUCUUCCGCAAUGGGCGAAAGCCUGACGGAGCAACGCCGCGUGAGUGAUGAAGGUCUUCGGAUCGUAAAACUCUGUUAUUAGGGAAGAACAUAUGUGUAAGUAACUGUGCACAUCUUGACGGUACCUCAUCAGAAAGCCACGGCUAACUACGUG
rnacentral:rRNA from 1 species